rnacentral:rRNA from 1 species
AGUGAACGCUGGCGGUAGGCCUAACACAUGCAAGUCGAACGGCAGCACAGUAAGAGCUUGCUCUUACGGGUGGCGAGUGGCGGACGGGUGAGGAAUACAUCGGAAUCUACCUUUUCGUGGGGGAUAACGUAGGGAAACUUACGCUAAUACCGCAUUCGACCUACGGGUGAAAGCAGGGGAUCUUCGGACCUUGCGCGAUUGAAUGAGCCGAUGUCGGAUUAGCUAGUUGGCGGGGUAAAGGCCCACCAAGGCGACGAUCCGUAGCUGGUCUGAGAGGAUGAUCAGCCACACUGGAACUGAGACACGGUCCAGACUCCUACGGGAGGCAGCAGUGGGGAAUAUUGGACAAUGGGCGCAAGCCUGAUCCAGCCAUACCGCGUGGGUGAAGAAGGCCUUCGGGUUGUAAAGCCCUUUUGUUGGGAAAGAAAAGCAGCAGGUUAAUACCCCGCUGUUCUGACGGUACCCAAAGAAUAAGCACCGGCUAACUUCGUG